rnacentral:rRNA from 1 species
GACGAACGCUGGCGGCGUGCUUAACACAUGCAAGUCGAACGGAAAGGCCCUGCUCUUGUUGGUUGCUCGAGUGGCGCACGCGUGAGUAACACGCGAGUAUCCUCCCCUUGUCUUUGUGAUAACUUCUGGAAACUGCGGCUCAUACCGGAUAUGAUCUCCUGCUCCAUGUUGUGCGUUGGAAAGUUUCGGCGGUUGGGGCUGGACUCGCGGCUUAUGAGCUUGUUGGUGGGGUAGUGGCUUACCAAGGGUUUGACGGGUAGCCGGCCUGGGAGGGGGAACGGGGACAUGGGGACUAAGAGACGGAGCAGAAGCCUAAGGGAGGCAGUAGGGGGGAAUAUGACAGAACGGGGGGAAGUCUGAGGCAGAAACGCCGCGUGCGGGAUGACGGCCUACGGGGUGUAAACAGAUUUGGCAGGUGACGAAGAGGGAGUGACGGUAAUGGGUAAAGAAGCAACGGCUAACUACGUG